rnacentral:rRNA from 1 species
CCUACGGGCGGCUGCAGUGAGGAAUAUUGGUCAAUGGUCGGGAGACUGAACCAGCCAAGUCGCGUGAGGGAAUAAGGCCCUACGGGUCGUAAACCUCUUUUGCCGGGGAGCAAGGGCCGGGACGCGUCCCGGCCCGGAGAGUACCCGGAGAAAAAGCAUCGGCUAACUCCGUGCCAGCAGCCGCGGUAAUACGGAGGAUGCGAGCGUUAUCCGGAUUUAUUGGGUUUAAAGGGUGCGUAGGCGGGCUUUUAAGUCAGCGGUAAAAAUUCGGGGCUCAACCCCGUCCGGCCGUUGAAACUGGGGGCCUUGAGUGGGCGAGAAGAAGGCGGAAUGCGUGGUGUAGCGGUGAAAUGCAUAGAUAUCACGCAGAACCCCGAUUGCGAAGGCAGCCUUCCGGCGCCCUACUGACGCUGAGGCACGAAAGUGCGGGGAUCGAACAGGAUUAGAUACCCCUGUAGUC